rnacentral:rRNA from 1 species
GGGGAAUUUUGGACAAUGGGGGCAACCCUGAUCCAGCCAUGCCGCGUGAGUGAAGAAGGCCUUCGGGUUGUAAAGCUCUUUUGGUCGGGAAGAAAGUGCCUUGCCUAAUAAGUGAGGUAUUUGACGGUACCGGCAGAAUAAGCACCGGCUAACUACGUGCCAGCAGCCGCGGUAAUACGUAGGGUGCGAGCGUUAAUCGGAAUUACUGGGCGUAAAGCGUGCGCAGGCGGUUGGUUAAGUCUGAUGUGAAAGCCCCGGGCUCAACCUGGGAAUGGCAUUGGAAACUGGCCAGCUGGAGUAUGGCAGAGGGGGGUGGAAUUCCACGUGUAGCAGUGAAAUGCGUAGAGAUGUGGAGGAACACCGAUGGCGAAGGCAACCCCCUGGGCCAAUACUGACGCUCAGGCACGAAAGCGUGGGGAGCAAAC